rnacentral:rRNA from 1 species
UGGGGAAUAUUGGACAAUGGGCGCAAGCCUGAUCCAGCCAUGCCGCGUGAGUGACGAAGGCCUUAGGGUUGUAAAGCUCUUUUGGCGGGGAAGAUAAUGACGGUACCCGCAGAAUAAGCCCCGGCAAACUUCGUGCCAGCAGCCGCGGUAAUACGAAGGGGGCUAGCGUUGUUCGGAAUUACUGGGCGUAAAGCGCACGUAGGCUGAUUGUUAAGUCAGGGGUGAAAUCCCAGAGCUCAACUCUGGAACUGCCCUUGAUACUGGCAAUCUCGAGUCCGGAAGAGGUUAGUGGAAUUCCCAGUGUAGAGGUGAAAUUCGUAGAUAUUGGGAAGAACACCAGUGGCGAAGGCGGCUAACUGGUCCGGUACUGACGCUGAGGUGCGAAAGCGUGGGGAGCAAACAGGAUUAGAUACCCUCGUAGUCCCUGAGCGGGCUGGCAAGGCGCAU